rnacentral:rRNA from 1 species
UACGGAGGAUGCAAGCGUUAUCCGGAAUUAUUGGGCGUAAAGCGUCCGCAGGUGGCACUUCAAGUCUGCUGUCAAAGACCGGGGCUUAACCCUGGAAAGGCAGUGGAAACUGAAGCGCUAGAGUGUGGCAGGGGUAGAGGGAAUUCCCGGUGUAGCGGUGAAAUGCGUAGAUAUCGGAAGGAACAUCAGUGGCGAAGGCGACUUCCUGGACCAAUACUGACGCUCAGGUGCGAAAGCGUGGGGAGCAAACAGG